rnacentral:lncRNA from 1 species
CUGGGAGAAGAAACAGGCUCUUAUCUGCUGAAAGCAGGAUCCCUACAGGGGCCACACGCACAUCUGUGAAAAAUGAUCUCAUAAAGAGGAGGCUGCCAGUCUCCCCACCUCCCUGCUGCUGGACAUGGAUGUUCUCAAACAAGGCUCCCGCUGUUCUCAUUGCAUGCAGUCAUCCCACACAACUCAUGAAGCUGCCCACAACUCAACUCAGGGAGCAAGUGCUCCAUACCUAUGGUCCCUCCACCACAAUAUUGACUGCGCUGCACCCCAGGAUCCUGAGAUGACCAACUGGAGGGAAGAGGCAGGGAUGAACAACUAUUUGUGUCCAGGAUGAUACCACAGGUAAGCUGAAGAAGGAG